UACGGAGGGUGCAAGCGUUAAUCGGAAUUACUGGGCGUAAAGGGUGCGUAGGUGGUUAGUUAAGUUAUCUGUGAAAUCCCUGGGCUCAACCUGGGCAGGUCAGAUAAUACUGGUUAACUCGAGUAUGGGAGAGGGUAGUGGAAUUUCCGGUGUAGCGGUGAAAUGCGUAGAGAUCGGAAGGAACACCAGUGGCGAAGGCGGCUACCUGGCCUGUUCUUGACGCUGAGGCGCGAAAGCUAGGGGAGCAAACGGG
rnacentral:rRNA from 1 species